UUAAACAGCAACCUUUCACCUUGACCACUGAUGGAAGAAUGAAGCACUACACGGUUUGGCUCUCCUUUUGUACUGCUGCAAAACGCUGCCGGCACUCAAAACUCAGAUAAGUAGCGCACCAAAAAUGAGAGUAUAAAAGGCAAAAUUCGGCUAUUGCAAAUUCAGUACGCCUCGAACUGUUGGCGAUGACACACCUAGUGUAUGCAAAAAAAACACACAAUUUUUUUUCCUAUUUUAAUGUCCACCAGUGUAAGUGUCUUGGUCUCAUAUGUGCUUCAAUGUACUAAUUCAACUAAUGCUUAUCGUCUUCAAAGUUACAGGUGCAUGCGCCAUUCAUCAACGCCUACCUGUUGGCAUCAUCAACAAUCUUCAAAGUGGGUGACGGAAAGAAAUUGUUUUCCAGUUUAAAAAAAUUAAGCGUUCAGCACAACUCAGCCACAAAACAACGCACUGGAUUACGCUAAGAACCUGUCGAAACGCGCGCAGCCCGCGGGCGCGGUAGGAGAAAGGAAGAACGAGAGGAGAAAACUAAAGCCAGCGCGCAGCUCUGAUGGUAUCCCGUACGCGGUAAGAAGAAAAAAGAUCGAGAGGAGGAAGAACGGUAAAUUUGGAAGGGGGAGACCGUUCUGCCGUCUCCACAGUGUGAGUAUGCCAAAGCACGUGUUGGAAGGGAGAGAAAAAGUGUGGAAUAAACCGCAUGCGAAUGUGUGCAUACAGCAAAAAUAAA